UAAGGAAUAUUGGUCAAUGGAGGCAACUCUGAACCAGCCAUGCCGCGUGCAGGAUGACUGCCCUAUGGGUUGUAAACUGCUUUUGUCAGGGAAUAAACCUUUCCACGUGUGGGAAGCUGAAUGUACCUGAAGAAUAAGGAUCGGCUAACUCCGUGCCAGCAGCCGCGGUAAUACGGAGGAUCCAAGCGUUAUCCGGAUUUAUUGGGUUUAAAGGGUGCGUAGGCGGUCCUAUAAGUCAGUGGUGAAAGACGGCAGCUUAACUGUCGCAGUGCCUUUGAUACUGUAGGACUUGAAUCUAUUUGAAGUGGGCGGAAUAAGACAAGUAGCGGUGAAAUGCAUAGAUAUGUCUUAGAACUCCGAUUGCGAAGGCAGCUCACUAAGUUAGUAUUGACGCUGAUGCACGAAAGCGUGGGGAUCAAACAGG
rnacentral:rRNA from 1 species